GGAGAGGUGCCUGAGAGGCCGAAAGGAGCGGUUUGCUAAACCGUCGUACGAGCUAAAACUUGUACCGCGGGUUCGAAUCCCGCCCUCUCCGCUA
rnacentral:tRNA from 1 species